UACGUAGGUGGCAAGCGUUGUCCGGAUUUACUGGGCGUAAAGAGCGCGCAGGCGGUCGUUCAAGUCGCGUGUGAAAGCCCCCGGCUCAACUGGGGAGGGUCACGCGAUACUGAUCGACUCGAAGGCAGGAGAGGGUAGUGGAAUUCCCGGUGUAGUGGUGAAAUGCGUAGAUAUCGGGAGGAACACCAGUGGCGAAGGCGGCCUUCUGGUCCAGUACUGACACUCAAGUGCGAAAGCGUGGGGAGCAAGCAGG
rnacentral:rRNA from 1 species